UACGUAGGGGGCAAGCGUUGUUCGGAAUUACUGGGCGUAAAGGGCGCGUAUGCGGCACGGCAAGUCGGGAGUGAAAGGCCUGGGCUCAACCGAGGAAUGGCUUUCGAGACUGCCGAGCUAGAGUGCGGAAGGGGCAACUGGAAUUCCCAGUGUAGCGGUGAAAUGCGUAGAUAUUGGGAAGAACACCGGAGGCGAAGGCGGGUUGCUGGGCCGACACUGACGCUGAGGCGCGAAAGCCAGGGGAGCAAACGGG
rnacentral:rRNA from 1 species